rnacentral:rRNA from 1 species
UACGAAGGGGGCUAGCGUUGCUCGGAAUCACUGGGCGUAAAGGGUGCGUAGGCGGGUCUUUAAGUCAGGGGUGAAAUCCUGGAGCUCAACUCCAGAACUGCCUUUGAUACUGAGGAUCUUGAGUUCGGGAGAGGUGAGUGGAACUGCGAGUGUAGAGGUGAAAUUCGUAGAUAUUCGCAAGAACACCAGUGGCGAAGGCGGCUCA